GGAAAAGUUGGACUGUGCAUCUUCCUCCAAGCGGAUUCAUUCCCUGUGACGCCAUUUGAUCUUAGAUUUGCAUUGUACCACAACGUGCCUCUAACAACACAUAAAAUAGCACCUCUGUGAUGUGAGGCCUGAGAUGGAGAUGCUCUGAGCUCAGAUCUGACAUGUGCCACCUUCUCCUGUGAUGAAGUCAAGAGAUAAGUGGUUCUACAUUUUGGAUCAAAG